CCCUUAGAUGUUCUGGGCCGCACGCGUGCUACACUGAUGCAUUCAACGAGUCUAAAACCUGGUCUGAUAGGGCUGGGUAAUCUUUUGAAAGUGCAUCGUGAUUGGGAUAGAUGAUUGCAAUUCUUCAUCUUCAACGAGGAGUGCCUAGUAAACGCAAGUCAUCAGCUUGCAUUGAUUACGUCCCUGCCCUUUGUACACACCGCCCGUCGCUCCUACCGAUUGAAUGAUCCGAUGAAUAUCAUGGAUUGAGAGUACGAAUGGGUUCGCUCAUUUCUGCUGCUCGAGAAGUGAAGUAAAUCUUAUCAUUUAGAGGAAGGAGAAGUCGUAACA
rnacentral:rRNA from 1 species